UACAUGGGGUGCAAACGUUGCUCGGAAUUAUUGGGCGUAAAGCGCGCGUAGGCGGCUACUUAAGUCGGAUGUGAAAGCCCCUGGCUCAACUGGGGAAGUGCACCCGAAACUGAGUAGCUAGAGUACGAAAGAGGGUCGCGGAAUUCCCGGUGUAGAGGUGAAAUUCGUAGAUAUCGGGAGGAACACCGGUGGCGAAGGCGGCGACCUGGGUCGAUACUGACGCUGAUGCGCGAAAGCGUGGGGAGCGAUCCGG
rnacentral:rRNA from 1 species